GAGGAUGCUUCGGGCGCGACCGCGGUCCAAGUCCCCUGGAACGGGGCGUCGUAGAGGGUGAGAAUCCCGUCUCCGGCCGGCCGGUCUCGCCCGUGUGAAGCUCCUUCGACGAGUCGAGUUGUUUGGGAAUGCAGCUCCAAAUGGGUGGUAAAUUUCAUCUAAAGCUAAAUACUGGUCGGAGACCGAUAGCGCACAAGUAGAGUGAUCGAAAGAUGAAAAGCACUUUGAAAAGAGAGUUAAACAGCAUGUGAAAUUGUUGAAAGGGAAGCGCUUGCGACCAGAGUCGGCCGCGGGGGUUCAGCGGGCAUUCGUUGCCUGUGCAAUCCCCCGCGGCCGGGCCAGCGUCGGUUUCGACGGCCGGUCAAAGGCCCCCGGAAUGUGUCGCCUCUCGGGGCGUCUUAUAGCCGGGGGUGCAAUGCGGCCAGUCGGGACCGAGGAACGCGCUCCGGCACGGAC
rnacentral:rRNA from 1 species